CCCCUAAUGACUGACCUCCCUCGAUGGCCAGGAAUUUCGCUGCUACGUAAAAGCUGUUUAUGCAGUAGACUCUGGAACCACAGCUAACGGGAAAGUUUUCACUCGAUUCCACAGAUUCAUUGAUGAUGAAGCGGGAAUCCAACAAAGGCCUCAGCGACUCCGCAGAAACCUAAAACCUCAGAACACCUCCGAAUAAUUCCGCAGAACACAUGGAUCGAUACCUGAAAACCCUCGAAAAAUAAAAAAAAAAACUUUUCUUUUCACUCCUGAGAAACUCUCAUCCUUCCUUGCCUGUCAUUUAUGCAUGGCACGGUAACACGAGGUUUAGCAACAUGAUUGGGAUGUUAGUGAGGUCUGGUGAGAGACAAGAGAGGACGGUAGAGGCCGCCAGUGACGCCACU
rnacentral:sRNA from 1 species